rnacentral:rRNA from 1 species
CCUACGGGAGGCAGCAGUGGGGAAUAUUGGACAAUGGGGGGAACCCUGAUCCAGCGACGCCGCGUGAGUGAAGAAGUAUUUCGGUAUGUAAAGCUCUAUCAGCAGGGAAGAAAGGAAUGACGGUACCUGACUAAGAAGCCCCGGCUAACUACGUGCCAGCAGCCGCGGGAAUACGGAGGGGGCAAGCGUUAUCCGGAUUUCCUGGGUGUAAAGGGAGCGUAGACGGUUACGCAAGUCUGGAGUGAAAGGCGGGGGCCCAACCCCCGGACUGCUUUGGAAACUGGAUAACUUGAGUGCAGGAGAGGUAAGCGGAAUGCGUAGUGUAGCGGUGAAAUGCGUAGAUAUUAGGAGGAACACCAGUGGCGAAGGCGGCUUACUGGACCGUAACUGACGUUGAGGCUCGAAAGCGUGGGGAGCAAACAGGAUUAGAUACCCCUGUAGUC